AGCAACGCCGCGUGUGUGAUGAAGGGUUUCGGCUCGUAAAACACUGUUGUAAGAGAAGAAUGACAUUGAGAGUAACUGUUCUGUGUGUGACGGUAUCUUACCAGAAAGGAACGGCUAAAUACGUGCCAGCAGCCGCGGUAAUACGUAUGUUCCAAGGCUUAUCCGGAUUUAUU
rnacentral:rRNA from 1 species